rnacentral:tRNA from 1 species
GGUUUGUGGCUCAGUGGUAAAGUGCUUGCCUAGCAUGCGUGAGGCACUGGAUUUGAUCCCCGGCACCA